GCGGGUAUGGCGGAACUGGCAGACGCACCAGAUUUAGGUUCUGGCGGGAGACCGUGCAGGUUCGAUUCCUGUUACCCGUACCA
rnacentral:tRNA from 1 species